rnacentral:rRNA from 1 species
CCCUUAUAGGUUGGGCUACACACGUGCUACAAUGGGAAUGACAAAAAGUAACAAAAAUGAAAGUAUUUAGUUAAUCUUUAAAAGUUUUCUUAGUUCGAAUUGUAAACUGCAACUCGUUUACAUGAAGAUGGAAUCACAAGUAAUCGCAAAUCAGAACGUUGCGGUGAAUACGUACCUUGGCUUUGUACACACCGCCCGUCACAUGCAGAAAGUUAAUUUUACUUGAAAAUUACAUUUUUAUUUUUGUUUAAUAGAAAAUAAUAAAGUUGUAGUUCAUUGAAAAGUUAACAAUUUGGAUGAAGUCGUAACAAGGUAGCUGUACGGGAACGUGUAGCUGGAACAGC